AUGGGGGACCGUGCACAGGGUCACCCCCCGCCCCCCUGGGACGUGCCAAGGCCGUCCUUGACCACCCUUGUGCUUUCACACGAUGGAGGCCACACACCCCAUGACUCCCAUGACCCCGGCAGCCUCUGCGUCCUGCAGCUUCGUCAGGGCCCUGGCCGCGUGGGGAGUGGGAGGUGCUCCGAGCGAGCUGUGGGGUUGUGGGGGCAGAGUGGGUCCCGUGGGGGCUGGCGGCGGAAACGGUCUGACAGACUUCAAUACCUGGCCAGGGGGGCGGGGGCGGCCCGGCCAACGGGCACCGUGUGUGGGACCCAUGCAGACCCCGUCUUGGCUCAUUGCGCUGGGGGCGGGCAGGACGGCCUGAAGCCAGGCUGCGAGGAGACGCCGCGCUCCCUGCCCGGGAGGCCCAGGCCGCGCCCCAGGACCCGACCUGCAGAGACCUCGACUCCCACCCCUGCCCUGAGAGGAAGGCAGUGGCUCGAUGCUGCCCGGCUCCAUGUGGAGAAUGGUUCCAGCACAAGAGGUUCCUUCCGGCGGCUUCUAGAGACCACGACAUGGGGACCUUCCCUCAGCCCCUCACAGCGACACCGGGGGGCGGGGGGUCGCCUCCUGACGGGCCCUCCAGGGCCUCGGGGCGGGGCGGCCGGCCAAGGCAGCAAGGGGCCUCCCAACCCUCCCGAGGGGCCGCUCUGUGCUCUCCUAAAAGCAAGUUCCCUGGAGUUUUCCCCUUUGGGGACUGUGUGUCUGGGGAGGUGGCCCCUCUCUCCGUCCCUCCGUCCGUGGAAUCUUCCUGGCGCAUUGCGAGCCCAGGCGACGCCCCCCCUGUUCUUACCACGUCCACCUGCAACUCAAGGAAAAUCAACACACAGACAACAAAGUGUUUUCUACGGAAACUGUUAUUUGCCGUUAAGAACUGCCAACUACACUGGGGAGGUGAACAUUCUCCGUAAGCCGCCUCAGAACGGCUCCCCGUGGGUCGGGCCGAGGCCCGUGUCCCCCACGUACAACAGCGUGGGCUGCAGCAUCAGCCCCGGCCGCCCCCCGGCUGCACCGCUCAGUCGGAGCAACGCGGCUGCCUUUCCUGCUGCCCGGCUCUACCCCACGGUCGCCACCGAGGACACAGGCGGGAAAUGGGAGGAAGUCCCCUCUGUGGGCCGGCAGGACGUGCAGGCACAGGGCAGUGCGCCCACCUGCCCGGGAGGACGCGGAGGCGGCUGUGGUGCAGGCGCCCCCCAAGCCCCUGCUGUGCUUCCGGGUGGGACGCAGGCCAGUCUUCAGGACGGACGGCAAACCCAAGCGGGAGGGGUGCAGUCUGGGCCUGGCCGCAGGCUGAGGGCACGGGAGCUGACGUCCGUGCUCAGGAAGGUCCGGAAACCUCCCUGGUUCGUGAGGAACCGUGGGGCUGUGGGCUCUACCCUCGAGCCUGGGCCUGGAGGGAGGCCCUGGAGGGCAGCGUGUCCCCAUCCCACCGCCCCCGUCCUGGCCCGGGGCAGCAGGUGCAGCAAGGACGGCGGCACGGGGGCGUCUGGAAUGCUGGGACCGGCACAGGAGGUGUGGAAAGGCGCGCCCCACUCAGGCUUUACCUGCGGCUCUGGGAGAGCAGACACGUCCCCAUCCUGGUGA
rnacentral:lncRNA from 12 species